UACGGGGGGGGCAAGCGUUGUUCGGAAUUACUGGGCGUAAAGGGCUCGUAGGUGGCCAACUAAGUCAUGCGUGAAAUCCCUCGGCUUAACCGGGGAACUGCGUCUGAUACUGGAUGGCUUGAGUUUGGGAGAGGGAUGCGGAAUUCCAGGUGUAGCGGUGAAAUGCGUAGAUAUCUGGAGGAACACCGGUGGCGAAGGCGGCAUCCUGGACCAACACUGACACUGAGGAGCGAAAGCUAGGGUAGCGAACGGG
rnacentral:rRNA from 1 species